rnacentral:rRNA from 1 species
CGCGGUAAUACGUAGGGUGCAAGCGUUGUCCGGAAUUAUUGGGCGUAAAGAGCUCGUAGGCGGUUUGUCGCGUCUGCUGUGAAUCUGGGGGCUCAACCCCCAGCUGCAGUGGGUACGGGCAGACUAGAGUGCGGUAGGGGAGAUUGGAAUUCCUGGUGUAGCGGUGGAAUGCGCAGAUAUCAGGAGGAACACCGAUGGCGAAGGCAGAUCUCUGGGCCGUAACUGACGCUGAGGAGCGAAAGCAUGGGGAGCGAACAGGAUUAGAUACCCUGGUAGUCCAUGCCGUAAACGUUGGGAACUAGAUGUAGGGGCCAUUCCACGGUUUCUGUGUCGCAGCUAACGCAUUAAGUUCCCCGCCUGGGGAGUACGGCCGCAAGGCUAAAACUCAAAGGAAUUGACGGGGGCCCGCACAAGCGGCGGAGCAUGCGGAUUAAUUCGAUGCAACGCGAAGAACCUUACCAAGGCUUGACAUAUACCGGAAACGUCCAGAGAUGGUCGCCCCGCAAGGUCGGUAUACAGGUGGUGCAUGGUUGUCGUCAGCUCGUGUCGUGAGAUGUUGGGUUAAGUCCCGCAACGAGCGCAACCCUCGUUCUAUGUUGCCAGCACGUUAUGGUGGGAACUCAUAGGAGACUGCCGGGGUCAACUCGGAGGAAGGUGGGGAUGACGUCAAAUCAUCAUGCCCCUUAUGUCUUGGGCUUCACGCAUGCUACAAUGGCCGAUACAAAGGGCUGCAAUACCGUAAGGUGGAGCGAAUCCCAAAAAGUCGGUCUCAGUUCGGAUUGAGGUCUGCAACUCGACCUCAUGAAGUCGGAGUCGCUAGUAAUCGCAGAUCAGCAACGCUGCGGUGAAUACGUUCCCGGGCCUUGUACACACCGCCCGUCAAGUCAUGAAAGUCGGUAACACCCGAAGCC